rnacentral:lncRNA from 1 species
CAGAUACAGAGUGAGGAUUUGAACAGAUACACCCUUCCUCAUUUACUGAAGCUCUUGUUAUUCCACUCACUAAUGAAAUUGGUAUGGAGGAUACACAGAAACUAGGAGCUGCCUUAGAUUCUAAAAGACAACAGUGUCCUGGAGCAAGUCUUCAGUUUGGCAAUGAAAAUGGGAUAUAGUGUCUGGGAUUCUAGCAGUCUGAUGAGUUUGAAAAUGACAGUUUCUGUGUGCAAAAGAUGUCACCUGCUGCCUUUUGAAUCCUGCAUUGUUUCCCAUAAAACCCACACUGAAGUGUUUGAGCACCCACCCCACAACGAGAUGGUGACACCUCUUGCAUGUACUACAUAAGCAGCUAAACAACUUUAACAGUUCAAAAAGCAGG